GGGGGCGAAACGGCUUCGACGGGGAUAAAGAAGCUCAAGUUGCAUACCAAGCGCCUGCCAGCUUGUAAAAACGGUGGGAAACUAAACAUAAUCGCAGACGAUUAUAGCUACGCAUUAGCCGCUUAAUGGCUAACGCCCUGUUGGACCAUUCCUGCUAAUCCGGCAAGGGCGUCGACAAGCAGGAUAGCCGGUCCCUAAAUCCUGUUACCGGACCGGCGAACCAUCUUACGGGAUAGCCUUUCAAGUAUCGCGCCUGGAGGAGACUUGAAAAGGCGAAUGCCAAAAUUCAGGAUAAGUAUGUAGAAGCUUGUGCGGAAGAUUUCCGGACGCGGGUUCGACUCCCGCCGCCUCCACCA
rnacentral:tmRNA from 1 species